UUUGUCCUAUGGAAUCGCAGU
ensembl:piRNA 21ur-4017 ncRNA